CACUUCGGUGGCCUAGUGGUUAGAGCAUCUGCCUCAGAUGCGGGAGGUUGCAGGUUCGAACCCUGCCUAAGUCA